rnacentral:rRNA from 1 species
CUGUCUUAAGAGGACUCUCCAUGAAAUUGAAUUCGUAGUGAAGAUGCUACGUCCAUAUUGUAAGACGAAAAGACCCCAUUGAGCUUUACUAAAGACUUGCAUGGCUCAAAAUAAUUUGACUUAAAUAAAAAGUUUAGAUAAUGUGGGACCCGUUUCCGGUUAAUGAAACACCACUCUUUUAUUUUAAGAGAGCUAACAUUACAAGGAUAGUGUAAGUUGGAUAGUUUGGUUGGGGCGACCACCUUUUAAAAGGUAACGAAGGUGAGCUUAAGGUCCGUAGUUAAUAGCCGGUGGCCUGACUGCAAGGGGGACGUCUCGAGCAGACACGUCCUUAGGGAUGUGGACUAUA